AAGAAACUGCUUUGAUUCGUUUGUAUGGAGUUUAUAAAUCCAACACUUUUUUAAAGGGAGCUUGAACUCUGGUUGCGGACUGCAGACCUCCUACAUCUGUAGACGAAGGGAGCGCGAACCAAUCAGGAAAGCACCCACCUGUGGUAACACGGGUUUAAUUAUUUCUGUAUGACGACAAAGCGGUUUUUUU
rnacentral:other from 1 species